AUUGAACGCUGGCGGCAGGCUUAACACAUGCAAGUCGAGCGGGGUGAUGGUGCUUGCACUAUCACUUAGCGGCGGACGGGUGAGUAAUGCUUAGGAAUCUGCCUAUUAGUGGGGGACAACAUCUCGCAAGGGAUGCUAAUACCGCAUACGUCCUACGGGAGAAAGCAGGGGAUCACUUGUGACCUUGCGCUAAUAGAUGAGCCUAAGUCGGAUUAGCUAGUUGGUGGGGUAAAGGCCUACCAAGGCGACGAUCUGUAUCGGGUCUGAGAGGAUGAUCCGCCACACUGGGACUGAGACACGGCCCAGACUCCUACGGGAGGCAGCAGUGGGGAAUAUUGGACAAUGGGGGGAACCCUGAUCCAGCCAUGCCGCGUGUGUGAAGAAGGCCUUAUGGUUGUAAAGCACUUUAAGCGAGGAGGAGGCUCUUUUGGUUAAUACCCAAGAUGAGUGGACGUUACUCGCAGAAUAAGCACCGGCUAACUCUGUGCCAGCAGCCGCCGUAA
rnacentral:rRNA from 1 species